UCUGCGGUCUCACUUGACUGCAGCAUUUGCAGCGGCACGCCUCCGGCUCACUUCUGUCAAGAUGCCACACGUUGAUGACGCCGUGCCAGCAUCAUGCCAGAUUAUUAAGGGCCACACAGACAAGUGUGUCAGAGAUAAGAUGGUGGAGAGCUGCAGAGACCUGAUGGAUGCCUUCCAGGCCUGCAUAAAAACGCUCUCUGAUGGCGUUUAAUACAUUCUGCAACACACAUUUGAAGUUUCUCAUUCCUGAUGCUUUACUCGUCACACAUGACUGAAAUCUGAAAACGGGCCUUCUGAUCUUUUAGAAGAUUGGUUUUAUUUUUCAGUUUUGUGCAACAGUUGUAACAAUUGUUUACACUGAAUAAAACAAUAAAACAUACUCAACAAACUUCAGUGGUUUUCUCUGAGUGAAACAAAACAAAAGCUAAAGUUGCUGCAGGGCCAGAGCUGGAGCCUCUGCUCUGGCUGGGAGCCGUCACACUUAAUGGAGUUAAUCUCCUCUUAAUCUUUGCUUUAGAACCUGAGUCGGGCAACUUUUCUUUUUCAGCCUAAGCUGCAUCACUGAUGUAGAGAUUAUGAGGAAGUUGGAUCACAGAGAGAUGACAUGAAAAAUCAGGGUUUCAUUUGGAGAGUUGCAUUUAAAGCAGUUUUUAUUUUCUGUUUUAGGUGUUUUUUUUAACCCGGAUAAAUGUUAUUUUGCUUUUUGUCUCCAUCUUUAGUCUGACUUAUUUUUUAUUUUUUCUGUCACCAUUAUGGGGCGACAGUGACACAGGUGUUAAGUGCUCGCCCCGUAAUCAGAAGGUUGCAGGUUAGAGCUCCGCUCAGUUUGUCGCAAUUGUGUCCUUGGGCAACACACUUAACCCCCCUCGCCUGCUGGUGGUGGUCAGAGGGACCAGUGGCACCAGGGCUUGGCAGCCUCGCCUCC